UACGGGGGGAGCAAGCGUUGUUCGGAUUACUGGGCGUAAAGGGCGCGUAGGCGGCCAGCACAAGUCAGUUGUGAAAUCUCCGAGCUUAACUCGGAAAGGUCAACUGAUACUGUGCGGCUAGAGUGCAGAAGGGGCAACUGGAAUUCUCGGUGUAGCGGUGAAAUGCGUAGAUAUCAGGAGGAACACCAAUGGCGAAGGCAGCACUCUGGGACGUGACUGACGCUGAGACGCGAAAGCGUGGGGAGCAAACAGG
rnacentral:rRNA from 1 species